UGUUCGGUGCUCACAGGACCUUCUAGUGAUAAUCCUCCCGUAGGGCAUCCAGAGAGGGCAUGGUGAGCUCAGCUCAUCUUUUAACAUUUCAAUCACUCGUUGCACCCCAUUCUCCUCAACCUUCGCGCUGCAGUCCAAAUGAGUGGCCUUCCAACCUGUAGCAGUAUAGAUAGUUCUAAACUGGGGGCAAAUAAUCAGAGAUGAUCGCCAAGAGCAGAAUAUGUGCGCAACCAAUGGAAAUACAACAAUCAGUAUAGCACUAAUUCAGUAUAUCCCACAUGCACCAAUACACCACCGAUCUCAGGUGAUUUUUAACCUUAAUUUUUCCUUUGAAACAUAUUCAAUAUGAUUGUAAACAGAUAUCAUAUUAUCAUGAAGGUCAAUGAGAUGCGCUUUUUCCCCAGCACAGGAGGGGAACAGCGAAUUUUUUUUUGUUGAUUUUACUGUUACUGCACGGUUCAUUUAAGUUCUGCUGCUUUUCCACUUGUCACCAACUGAAAAAUUGUCCACCAAAUGAAUAGCACGGUAAAUGAGCCUCCGCUUGAGCCCACAAAGGUAAUGUACAGGAAUAACCAUUUGAUAGCCAUUAGAGUUUCGAUUGAAAUGCUUCUGAACAAAUUAAUGAACAAAAAAAUAGAAUGACAUUCAAAUUCCACUAAAGCAUCGUGCAGAGAGCUACAACAUAAUAUUAAUACGGUGGACAAUUUUAAAAAAUCAUGGUCAGAGAUUACCAUGACAGCUUGAGCUCCAAGAGCCAGUGCCUUGAAAACAUCUGUGCCCCGCCUCACUCCUCCAUCAAAGAGAACCGGAAUUUUCCGUCCAACAACUUGAACCACCUGCAACCCACAAAGUAAUUCUUACAGUAUGUUGCCCCACAACCCGUGUGUUUCAAGAAAAAACAUAACUUGUACUAACAGUCCGUUUGACAAAGAGAGAAGAAACAAAUUUAUGAGAAAAAAAAAGAAGAGAAAAAAUGAUGUACUCUCUCCUUUCUACAUAGUAUCUCGUGAGACCACCACUAUUUCUAUAUUGGUUUUCUCAAUUUGUUGGCAUAUCUGCAUCCAGACCAUCUAGUUCAUGAAACGAAACAAAAGUCACCUGCUUCCAAACAGUAAUAGUGGCUGGAGAAUAAUCCCAGCUGACGAGCUCCGUGAUUGGAGAUAACAUCCCAGCAAUCCCUGCUUCACAAAGCUUUUAUUGCUUCCAAGAUAGUUUUCAAAUUAUACAGCGAUUUUUAUCUUUCCAAUAAAUAUGACCAGCAAACAAGGAUCUUUUUGAUGCUUAAAUAUUUUCCAACCUAUUAAGCACGAGAAAAAAGAAACUAAAACAAUGGAUUUGCUGAAGUAAAGUUUCAAAGAUAGGGGUCCUGAACAUAUUCCUUCUAACAUAAACCUAAAGUAGGCCCAGUUUAGGACCCAUUAGGUGGUGUUCAGGGUGUAACCUUUGGCAUUACAGCACAAAAUGGUUGUCUCCUCAGACUCAUACCCACAACCCCAAGCUUAGUAGGACAAAAGAGAAAAUAUGGAAAAUCAUCUUCAAUCAUUCAGAUUUGUUUUAUGGUGACUACAUUAUAUGAAAAAAAAUAAUUAAACUUUGAUUGACGAGAAGGUUCUCCUAUUUAUGAAGCAGAGAGAGAGAGACGCGAGAGAGAGAGGUAACUCUCAAGUAGGGUCAUGAGUUUACGCAUCUUCAGGUCACCACCCCUUUGAUUAGAAUUGGCAAACUUUUGACAGAUCUUUAACCCUCUAUGUCCUGCAACAGUUAUAAUGAGCUCACAAGUAUGAUUACAUAAGGAAAUCAUCUAUGACCCUGGACGAUUUUUGUAUUUACUACAUCAAAUUAAAAACUUUUUAAAACGUGUAACCACACCCCAGAAAUAUUUAGAGUAAACGGCACUCGAAUCUGAUAGCGUGUGAAGUUGGAGACAUUGGAAAAGGGUGUAACUACAGCAACAAUGUUCCUAUAUAUGAGCAGUAGUACGAUUAACACAUUUCCAAAUGAGACUGCACUGCAACCAAGGGAAAUUUUUGGCCCAAGAUUAACACCUUUUAGACAACUGUGGAAGCCAAAUUAUCAGCUAUCAAUAGUAGUUUUGUUGUUUAUAACCUUCCAACACAGAGAAGAUCCUAAUGUCGCUGCUGCAAAAGCUCAAGGUUUGAAACACCUUAUCCUACAAAGUAAGAGAACUAUGUUAUUGACCUAACAAAGAAUUAUUCUUUAACAUGCUAUCUAGUAGUUCAGUCAAACAUGCAAGAGAUGUGUGGGGCUUUCACAUGAAUGUAACAACUGCAGCAGACUAGGAAACCUGAAUUAUACAGGCAAUGUGAAAAGCAAUGUGCCUAACAAGAGACCAACAGCAUUAUUUUUCAGCAGCAAAGGAUACCAGCCCCCUGUGUAGAAAUACAAAAUCCGCUUCACCUACAUCGAGUGUAUAAUCGUCCACCCAUCAUAAACUGGAAUUGGCAGCAUACUUCUCUACAGGCAUAUGCUACUUAUGGAUGUCGAACAGAACUAAAUAACUAGAUAAAAUAAAGGGUCUAGCUAUAUGUACCCUAGAGAAUGCUGUAAAUCCAAAGAAAAACAUACCUCAGACUACACCCCAAUCAGCAGGCGCAGUUGUGAAAUCAAAGUGUGGUUAUAGCAAGAAGUAGAAAUGUGCAGAGUGUAUCCAAUAGCUCGAACUAGUUCAUCAUUUGCAAGCAUUUUUUAGAUGCUUACACUGGGAACAGAAAUAAACUACUCACCGAA
rnacentral:lncRNA from 1 species